rnacentral:rRNA from 1 species
UACGUAGGGCGCAAGCGUUGUCCGGAAUUAUUGGGCGUAAAGAGCUCGUAGGCGGCUUGUCACGUCGGAUGUGAAAGCCCGGGGCUUAACUCCGGGUCUGCAUUCGAUACGGGCUGGCUAGAGUGUGGUAGGGGAGAUCGGAAUUCCUGGUGUAGCGGUGAAAUGCGCAGAUAUCAGGAGGAACACCGGUGGCGAAGGCGGAUCUCUGGGCCAUCACUGACGCUGAGGAGCGAAAGCGUGGGGAGCGAACAGG